rnacentral:rRNA from 1 species
CUACGGGGGGCUGCAGUAAGGAAUAUUGGUCAAUGGACGCAAGUCUGAACCAGCCAUGCCGCGUGAAGGAUGACAGCCCUACGGGUUGUAAACUUCCUUUAUACGGGAAGAAUCCCCCGGACGUGUUCGGGGUUGACUGUACCGUUUGAAUAAGCACCGGCUAACUCCGUGCCAGCAGCCGCGGUAAUACGGAGGGUGCAAGCGUUAUCCGGAUUUAUUGGGUUUAAAGGGUGCGUAGGCGGAAUGAUAAGUCAGUGGUGAAAGCCCCCGGCUCAACCGGGGAACUGCCAUUGAUACUGUCAUUCUUGAGUACACUUGAAGUGGGCGGAAUGUAUCAUGUAGCGGUGAAAUGCAUAGAUAUGAUACAGAACACCGAUAGCGAAGGCAGCUCACUAAAUUGUAACUGACGCUAAGGCACGAAAGCGUGGGGAGCAAACAGGAUUAGAUACCCUUGUAGUC